UCCAUCCUUGUUUCAGAUUGGAGAACUGCUCUUUCUUUCACUCAUUCCACAAAAGCUACAGGGUGCUUUUAUGAGGUUUAACUGACUGAAGCCUACGAGCCACACAACACUACUCAUCCCUUUAAAGCAAAUAGAAGACUGGAAGGAAGAAAUUCUUAGAACUUUUAAAAUGUACCAGAGUGAAGAAAAGAGCUGUCAGAGGCCAUGACUGCACAUUCACAGUGUGAAACUCUGGAUGGAUGGUUACAGAAUGUUAAAAAUGAAAAACUGCUAAGAAGAAAGUCAGCAGAACACAACUCCUGCAAGAACUCCUGUUCCUGCAUCCCUGGGACUUCAUAGCAAAACCUGUCUGCUCCAGUGAUGAAAGCUGCCUAGUUUUUCUACCAACAUCACUGUUUUCUCAUUAAAUUUCCAGGGAAAGGUUUAUUUUUGGGAAUCUUCUAAAAAGUCCUGUAACAUUUCAAGAUUAGGAGUGGAUGACAGCUGACAAAAAAUGAUCAUUAAGAUAAGUCAAAGUCCAUGAGGAAUCAAAAGUGGAAAUAAAGAAAUUCCAAAGUGACA
rnacentral:lncRNA from 1 species